GCCCUACAAGAUUCCUUUCUUUUUCAUCAUCCGCAGCCUGCGAUUUCUCUUUGAAUCAGCAGAGCAGUCACCAAAGUGGUUAUACGACGUUCAAAUUCGCAUUAAUGGUCUAGGAAUUGACCGAAUUCGACAAAAGGAGUCAUCCCUUUCAAUUAUUUUAAAUUUCAAAUUCCUUAUCUCUCCACCUGUUGAUUUCUACGAAUUUUGCUUUUCUAAUCCGGACUUUGAAGUUCGGAUUUGCCUGUAAAUACCGAUAAUUUCAUGCUUUAGUGAGGAGGUUUUUGGACCUUCAAAAAUAGGGGGAAAACGUUAAGAAAUAUGCUCAAAACAUUCAUUAGAGAAAUCGGCUCACUUUCAAAUUUUUCGUUGUUCACUUGUUCAAGUUCGGUGGCCAGAGAAUCCUUGGCGUCGGAGCUUCGGUUUGCUGCCCAACAAAAGAUGGUGUUAACCAAUAUUGAACCAAAUUGUAUUGAGAAGAGCAUUCUUCAGUUGCUUGUUUUUGAGCCGGUGCCUCAAAAUGAACAUGUUGCAUUCAACAAAUCUGAUGAUUCGUGCAAAGAACAUAUGAGAGAAGACAGUCCUAUGAAUACUCAAAAUGAGUUGAAAUUUCUGCGAACUGAUUUGAAUUUGCUAAAGGAUGAGGUUUUGUCGAUGAAACAGUUGAUGACAUCGUUAUUUGACCUAAGUUUUAAAAGCACUACAUAUAAAUGAGGGUUCUAAGUCUGCCGAGUAUCACAGUGGUCAUAAUGUGGGGCUUAAAAAUGAUGAUACACAUGCAGGGAAUCCCAUAGGGGUUAAUUUGUCUGACAAUGUGGUAUGGCAAACUGAUGGUAUACCAAAGGUUGAUGGUGUUGGACAAAAAAAUAUUGGUGUUGGGGAUUGUAUUGAUAUGGGAACUGGGAAUAAAACUGAAUGCUAAUCUGGUUGAUGAUGUUAAAAAAGAAAAUGUUGAUGUAGGUGAUCACAUUGAUGUAGUAGUUAGAGAUCACCUAAGUGAUAAUGUCGUUGAUAAUAUUGGAAAAGAAGCUGUUGUUAUAGGUGAUUGUAUCAAUACAUAUGUAGGUGAUAGACCUAUUACAGGUGAUGAAUGAAGUGCAUUUCCAAAUUUUGAUUUUUUAAAAUUUACACCAAGUGGUAAUAAGAUUGGAGAGGAGGUUAAAAAUAGUUUUGAGGAUAGUUGGUCUGAUUUUCCUGAUUAUGAAGUAUCAAAGUUGAUAUAGAUUUAGGCUAUGCAAGUGUUGCAUUGGAGGCUACAGAAGUUCUUGUUGAUGUUGGAAGCAUAAGAAAAAAUAUUGAUGAUACUUCUGUAGGUGAUAAAUCAACUAUCAUCUUGGAUGACACACCGGUUGUCCCUCGUAGAAUAAGAAAAUCAGCUGCAAUAUGUGAAUCACCAUACGUGUCAAAGUUUGAUUCUGGUUGUAGCAAUGUUCAAGGUCAACCAACUAAGUGCAUAGAUAAAGGACAUUCAAGAAAACACAUAUUCAGUAUCAAACAUCCAUUUACCAUAAGUAUUACAGAGCCAUUUCUUGAUACGAAGUUGUCUUCAUUCAACAAGUUUGUUGAUAAGUCAUUACGACUUAAUUCAAAGUAAAUGUUUUCUUUCUAAAUUUUUGUAGAUUAAAUUUUUAUUAUUUUUGUGUCAUAACUAAUACGUUGUGUCAUCAUUUUGUUAUAGUCUUGUUUAUUCAGAAUCUGUUAAUAAUCUGACAAAUGCUUUUGACUUUGGUGUUGUCACGAUUAAAACAAAAGAAUGGUUCUACACGCUUGGAUAUGCAGGAAUACCUUUAACUGAUUCACAUAUUGAUGUGCUUUUUUUACUACUUUCGGAAGAAAUCAAAGUACAUUCUUUUGGAUGAUGGAAGUUCAUCAGUUGGUUUAAUUGCUUGAUACAAAGUUUGUACUCAAAGUUUUUGGGUAAGAGAAAAGAUGUUGCCGUUAUUAAAGAGGACAGUGAAAUUGUUGAGUAUAUCCUCGGAUAUGUUAUGAGGUGUAAUGUGUCGUGGUAUUCUGUUGAUAAUGUUUUGUUCCCGAUUAAUAUUUCUGAGAACUUUCAUUGGAUUUUGGCUCGUCUGUCUUUUAAAGAUCAAUGUAUUUAUGUUUAUGAUUCAAUGUGUGGUGCACGAUAUAGACGUGUUGGAAAGUUAUUUCAGCAUAUUCAAAAUUGAUAGCAAACUUGCUUUCUUCUAUUGAUUUUUGGGACAAAAGAAGUGAUGGAAUUGCAGCUGCUGACUCGUAUGAUAUUCGGAUGUUGACGGAUUGCCAACUCAAAAGAACACGGACUGUGGUAUUUUUGUAGUUGCUUUUGCAAAGUACAUGAUUGAAGGCGUUCAAAUUCCUGCAAGUUUAGAUGAUAUUGAUAGCAUACAGAGCCGAUAUGAUGUAUUAUUGUGGCAAUAUGGAAAGAUAAAACAAAAGCAGCAAUAGUUUAGGAUAACUUGCCAGUGUAGUUUUUGACAUAUUUUGAAGUUUUUGAUAUACUGUUGGAAGUGUUUACCUGGUGUUUUUGAUGGGAUGCAAUUGCUUACUUUUCAUUUUUAUUUUUCGAAGAAUCCAUAUUGAUUCAUAUUGAUGAUUAUAUGAUUUUGAAAACUUU